GACGAACGCUGGCGGCGUGCUUAACACAUGCAAGUCGAGCGGUAAGGCCCUUUCGGGGUACACGAGCGGCGAACGGGUGAGUAACACGUGGGUGACCUGCCCUCAGCUCUGGGAUAAGCCCGGGAAACUGGGUCUAAUACCGGAUAUGACUCCAUGACGCAUGUUGUGGGGUGGAAAAGCCUUGUGCGGCUGAGGAUGGGCCCGCGGCCUAUCAGCUUGUUGGUGGGGUGAUGGGCCACC
rnacentral:rRNA from 1 species